AAAGUCGUAACAAGGUAACCGUAGGUGAACCUGCGGUUGGAUCAUUAUCAAUCCUGGGCUCGCAAGAGCCCUUCAACCCCAUGUGCACUAAAUAUUGUUUCUGGGUGUCUCGGCACCCAAACUUAUAAACCAUACCAUUUGUCUGAUAUUAUUAUAUAAUAAAAAACAACUUUUGACAACGGAUCUCUUGGCUCUC
rnacentral:misc_RNA from 1 species